UACAGAGGUGGCAAGCGUUGUUCGGAAUUACUGGGCGUAAAGGGCGAGUAGGUGGCCAUCUAAGUCAGACGUGAAAUCCCCCGGCUUAACCUGGGAACUGCGUCUGAUACUGGACGGCUUGAGUAUGGGAGAGGAACGUAGAAUUCCAGGUGUAGCGGUGAAAUGCGUAGAUAUCUGGAGGAAUACCGGUGGCGAAGGCGGCGUUCUGGACCAUUAUUGACGCUGAGGAGCGAAAGCCAGGGGAGCAAACGGG
rnacentral:rRNA from 1 species